CAAGAUCCGCUUACCCUCCCCUCUCUCUCUCUGUGUCCGGUUCUCUCGGUCUCCCUCUCGACAUACCGAGAAAAAAGAGGGACACGGCGGUGGCUCAUCAGCGCCGACGGCACGGCCUCGAUUCAGAGGAAGAAGCUGGGAAGAGAGUCGAGGAGGAAAGAGUGGUCGGAGCCAGAAGAGAGUGGGAGUGUGGUCCGAAGCCUCUCUAGGACGGCCUCUCUCAGCUCCAAGUUCCUCUCAAUUCAUGAAACUUGGAACUCACAGAGAACGGAAAUCCUUCCCGAGUUUCGCCAAUGCUAGGAAUUUCGUACGGGGAGCUCUUCCUCAUUCUCGGAGCCACUGCCGCUCUCAUCGGACCAAAAGAUCUUCCACUCAUAGCCCGGACCGCCGGCAGAUUGGCCGGCCGAGCCAUCGGAUAUGUCCAGUUAGCCCGAGGCCAGUUCGACUCGGUUAUGCAGCAGACCCAAGCUCGUCAGGUGCACAAAGAGCUGCAAGACACAAUGGCCCAGUUGGAAGCCAUACGCCAUGAAAUCCGAAGCAUAUCCUUCAUAAAUCCAGGUCCAAUGACCCGGAGGCUGAUCGAUGAUCCCAAUAACACAUCUGUCGGCAGUGGCAACAAUGUUCAACAGAUGCCCAUUCCUGAAAAUAAAGAAACAAGCAACUUUCAAAAGGAUGGGAAGACAUCGCCAUCAGACCUCAGUAACUUACAUAGCCAAGCAACUGCUUAUGAUAGGUUGGCAGACUCAGCUGCUGUGAGAGCUGCUUCUGGAAAAAUUGAUACAGAUGGAGGCACAAUCGAGAAUGAAGCUGGCUUUCCUACUGUUUUGCCCAUUUCUGCUGAAACUGCUGGUUUCUUAUCCCCUCGAACAGAUGAUGUCAAAGGAUCUGACAUUGUACUAGAAGCAAUAGUGGAGUCGGAGGUGGCACACAAUGCUAAAGAGUUCUUUGCACGACCUGAGAAUCAAAUAAAGUAUGAAUAAAAGCAGGUGUUAAUCUUGAGGACACAUGAUUGCGAAUGGAAAAGAUGAAGUUGAUCUGGGAAACCUCACUAAUGGAAACUAUAAUCAUAGUCCUUCAUUACCGUACUGGUGAAGGAGAUGCAAGGUUGACAAUUCGGAUUCCCCUCUUAUCUGCCCCUGCAUCAACAAUUUUCCUAUAUUUUAGGUGAGUGCUGCGAUAUAGCACGCCCUAGGGAAGAUCUGUUUUGGUCGAAUGAAAUUUUGGGAGAAGGAACACGUAAUGAAAUGAUGUCAAUUUCCAAUUUUCUAUUCCUCUUUUCUGAGUUCAGGCUGCUUCCUCUGUAUAGCUUCAGCUACAAUGUCCCUCCGUCUAUGUUUUGCUUCUGGGUCUGAGUUUAAGGUAAUGCUGAUGAAGGUUCCGACGAUUGGGAUGUGAAUUUUUUUUAAAAUUAUGAUAAAUAAAUUUCACAUAGGAAAUUGUUGUGA